rfam:Arthrobacter arilaitensis RE117 chromosome, complete sequence.
CCAAUUCACUUUCACAACGGAUCGUCGGGCACGUACCUGCCCGUGAAAGGAUUGUCA